rnacentral:rRNA from 1 species
AAUGAACGCUGGCGGCAGGCCUAACACAUGCAAGUCGAACGGAUCCUUCGGGAUUAGUGGCGGACGGGUGAGUAACGCGUGGGAACAUACCCUUUGGUACGGAAUAGCCUCGGGAAACUGGGAGUAAUACCGUAUGUGGUCGAGAGACGAAAGAUUUAUCGCCAAAGGAUUGGCCCGCGUUGGAUUAGGUAGUUGGUAGGGUAAUGGCCUACCAAGCCGACGAUGCAUAGCUUGUUUGAGAGGCUGAUCAGCCACACUGGGACUGAGACACGGCCCAGACUCCUACGGGAGGCAGCAGUGGGGAAUCUUAGACAAUGGGGGAAACCCUGAUCUAGCCAUGCCGCGUGAUCGAUGAAGGCCUUAGGGUUGUAAAGAUCUUUCAGGUGGGAAGAUAAUGACUGUACCACCAGAAGAAGCCCCGGCUAACUCCGUGCCAGCCGCCGCAGUAA